AAUAUUAAAUAAAUUCUUUGUUAGGAAUGAAUAACAAAAAAUUUAAUAAGUAGUAACCAAUCUCGAGACUACAAGACACAAAUUUAAAAACUUAUCUAUUUUAUCACUUUAAAAAUAAUUGUUAUGGGAUUUGUUUAAAAGUUAUAAAUACUACAAUAUAGUCUACUAUUUUUUUACUAAUCCGUGCAGUCUACUUACUCCAAAGUCGGAUCGUAAUGAAAUAAUGGAUUGUAAUGAUAUUUGCCGUGUUUGCCUUCAAAGAAAUCCGUUGGCGUUUGAUAUAUUCACAUGUUUUUGCUGGGAAAAAAAUAUAGUUUAUGCAGAUAUGUUGUCCUAUUGCACAAAAAUUGUUCCUUCCGAAAACGAUGGUCUUCCUCGUAAUAUAUGUGGUGAUUGUUCUCGUCAUUUGAAACAGGCCUAUUCAUUUAUAGCACAGUAUAUUGUAAAUGACAAAAAGUUGAAAGAUAUUUUAACUACAUCAGUGAUCGAAAGAAACAAUUGUCCCAUUGAAAAAGUUGUACAAAGCUAUGAAAAUGAUUGUAUAAAGAGUGAAUUAGUAUCACAGGCAUCUGAUUCAAUAAUUGCGAUUGAAAAAGAAGAAGAUGAUGAGUUUAAAUCAGAAAUUACCAGUGAUUUUGAAUGUACUGAUGAAUUCAUCCUACCUACAGAUGUGAAGAAAGAGAUAGAAGGUGAUGGCAAUGAAGACGAAUUGGUGCAAAAGAAAAGAGGAAGGAAGAGAAAGGACAAUAAAAGGUCACACACAUUCUUUGAUCGAUCAAAAGCUUUGAGUUCAAAAUCAAACGAUAAAGAUGAUGCUUGCAAUGGCAACAUAGAUAUUGAGAAAUUUGUAGCAGAUAAUAGUGAUAAUAGUAAUGUAAUUAAAGGAGAUGAUGUUAAUGUUGAAAGAGUGAAGAAAAAACGUGGCAGAAAGGCAAAAGAAGUCAAUAAAAGUGUUAAUGGUAAUAUUGUAUGCAACAAUGAACCUGUAUCGUCGCUGAAAGCGAAAACUGUUUCGGAAGGUAAUUUAAGAUAUCCAUAAAAUUGCGGACCAGAAGACACGGAACCCAUCGCGAAACAGAGUUCCCCAGCAAUGCGAGGAGUGCGGAAAGGUGCUCAGCUCCAUGAGCAAUCUGACCACUCACAAGAUAUGCCACACCAACCUGCGACGGUACAAGUGUAGCGAGUGUCCUGCCGCUUUCAAAGGUCACAGUGGCUUAGUACAGCACAGGACUCUUCACACUGGCGAGAAGCCUUACCACUGCGAGUAUUGUUCAAAACAAUUCCGUAGGAAACCAGCCCUCAUCAACCACAUACGAAUGCACAUGGGUGAAAAACUAUACAGCUGUAAGAUUUGUUCGAAGCGCUUCGUGCAAAGUUCCCAGAUGUUUGUUCACAUGAAGCGUCACUCCGGCAUCAAGAGCUAUCUGUGUCAGGAAUGUGGAAAAGGUUUCUACAUAAAGGCUGAUCUGCAAGUCCACCAACGGAUCCACAGCGGUGAGAAGCCGUACUCAUGCUACCUGUGCUCGAAGACGUUCGCCACCUCGGGGAACCUGUCCAUUCACAUCCGGAUACACAACAAGGAAGUUAGAUACAAGUGCAAGUUCUGCGGGCGCGGGUUCGUGACCUGCAGCGCCUUCAACGUGCACGUGAAGCGGCACAAAGGCCAGAAGGACUACCAGUGCGAGUGCGGGAAGAGCUUCUUCACGUCAUCCGCGCUCAAGCAGCACAGGUUGGUGCACUCGGGCGAGCGGCGCUACCAGUGUAAGAUCUGCGAGCGGAAGUUCACGCAGACCAGCCACCUCAACCGUCACUUCCGGCGCGAGCACAGCGCCCCCGGCGCACCACUUCCGGCGGCGCACUUGUACAAGGUGACUCUGCCGAGCGCCGGGGUGUCGACCAUACUGGCCAAGCUCCCUGGCCUGACGUAGUCCUGCGACCAACUUUAACACGGACUGGCGUGUUUUAGUGAUCGUCACGCAUCUUGGAGGGUAAUCAAAUCGUACUAUAUUUGAUCUUCCGUCAAUCUUUUCAAUCUGGACACAUUGUUGCCUAUUUUUAAUAUAACUUUCCAGACAUUUUGAAGUGAUACCUCGAAGCCCAUAUAAAUUACAUUUGUUUAUGAGAAUUUCGAAGUCGACACAGUCAAAAGCUUGGGUCAUAUCAAAGAAUACUGCUGUUACUCUAAUUUUUUGAUCUAUUUUUGUUAUCAGAUUUUUAACUAAUGUAUUUGCGGUCAUUGUGGUAGAUUUAUUUUGUUGAAAUGCGUAUUGUUCCUCUGUAAUGACGCUGAAUUUCAUAAAAAAGUCGGUUAAUCGUUUAUACAUUAUUUUCUCAAAAACUUUUGAUAGAAUAUAAGAUAUAAGAGUUAUUGGUCUAUAAUUAAUAAGUUCCGUAUGAGUACCUUUUUUGUGAAGUGGUUUUAUAAUAGAUGUCUUAAGAGUUGUGGGGAAUUGUCCUUGUUCAAAUGAUAAAUUGAUUAAAUAUGUCAGUACUGAAACUAUUACAUUUUUGCAUGUUUUUAUAUCAUGGGUUGUGUUCCUUUUCUUGUAACCACUGAGCUGCUAGCCUAUUUAUUGUUUGUUUAUAUUUAGUAACAUAGUUGUGGUUAUAUAAUUAAGAACGAUUUGAUUUAGUUGUGUAUGUCUAAAUCAUGUCUUGCGCUAGUUUUAUCAGAAGUAACUAGUUAUGCUAAUAGCCACGUGAAUGUAGCAAACGCAAUUAGGAAAAUAUGUGGAAUACUGUCGCCAACUAUUUUUAACCGACUUCAAAAAGGAGGAGGUUCUCAGUUCGUCGGUAUGUUCUUUUUUUAUGUUUGUUACCUCGAAACUUUCUACUGGGUGAAUCGAUUUUGAUAAUUCUUUUUUUAUUUGAAAGCUGGUGCUUCCCAUUGUAAUUUUGUCCAGAUCUGACAACGGUAUCCAUUAGAAAACCAUAAAAGUCUUAAAUUUGCUAUACAUACGUAUAGCAAAGAGGAUGAUAAAUUUACGAAUAACUCAAUAUCGCGCCAACCGAUUUCGAUGAUUCUUUUUUUAUUGGAAAGGAUAUACUUCAAAGAUAUUUUAGUGAGAGUUUGGUUAGGUUCUGAUUACGGACUCCUCUCCAGAAUUGAAAUUCAUAGGAGCAAAUUAACGAUACUCGGCCGAAUCUUUUUUAUGCUAUCCGGAUAUUUAAGUCACCUAAAAUAACAUAGUUAUGGUCAAGUAAUUGUCGUAGUCGAAUAUGAUGAUCAAUGGGACUCCUUAACGACUUACAGAAAGGUGCGAUCUGUGGCAGAGUUUCUGUUUGUUAUCAAAUUGCAAAGCACUUACGUUCAUUGCUGCAUUGAAAAAUUUAGUAUAUCUACACAUAUUUAGACAAAUUGUUAGUACUUCAAAUUCACUAAAAAUCAUAAAAUAAAUACUUUUAAAACAAAAAGACAACUGACUUCAAAAACACUAUUCCAAAACAAUAGUGUAAUGUGCACUAAAAAGUAUAAAAUUUAAUUGCGUAUUUUUAUACAGUCUAAUUAAUUAAUCUACUUCUAGUUACGAUUAUUGUAAUUUUUGGAUUCGCUGUCAGCCAAGAUAGGUUUGUUACUACAUACAUAGUUAUAGGUGAGAUGUGCUUGAGUCGUGAGGAGGUGAGAGGCGAGAGCGGAAGGACACCGAUUCCAAAAAUUACAAUAAUCAUAACUAGAAUUAUAUUGUAUAAAAAUACGCAAUAUUUUUACACUUUUUAGUGCAUAUUACAUCUAUUGUUUUGGAAUAGUGUUUUUGAAGUCGGUUGUUCUUUUGUUAAAAAAAUUUUAUAACUUAAAAUUCGAACGACCUACAACCAGAGCGACAGAGCGUUCUCUUUUUAAAUAUGAAUUUUAAAAAAUCUAAGUAUGUUAAGUAAUAUUACGUUCAGAUCUGAGUAUAAAGUUUAUGUCUUUAAUUUUAUUACCAAUAAUCUUAGUUUGAAAAUAUCUUCACAAAUAUAAUCGUUUUUUUAAUUAUCUUACCACCACUGUAUAAAUUUAACUAGUUAUGAAUUACCACAAAAAUGUUCUCUAAUUACCCGCUGCGAAUGCACAGGAUAGGUUUCCACUCAGUGUAUAAAGGAGGAAAGCACCGAUGAAUCCUGAUGAUGAAAUAAAAACCAGUGCCCAUCAACAAAUAAAUAAAAACACUUUAAUGGCAUAAGCGUAGAUAGUUUAUACGUCUAGAUAGAGGCCCUUGCUGCUAGAGAACAGAUGAAAACAGGCCAGGAAUAUUAGUUUAGUGUGCGUGACAAGCAACGUCUUACACUCGCGAUUCACUUUGUCUUAGUACGCGAGAUUACAAAGUGAAAUAGAGGUUAUCUGUCAAUCUCAAUUUUUGUCGACGUUUUCACAUGUUUUCUAAGGUCCAAAAUUUUAAUUAAAUUUAUGUUUUCAAUUAUUUCAAUCAAUGUAAAGAUAUGUGACGACACUAAUCGAGCGUCGAGGUAUUAAUAGUCUGUAAGAUUAAAUUUAUAUUUAAAAUUACACUGAUUACAGUUAUUUUGUAAGUAUAAAUAAUAUGAAACUCCA